AUAUACAAAAAAGAUACUUAUCAUAGUGCCUUAAUUAGAUGAGUGUUCAUAUCCACAUCCAAAUCAUUGAGCUCUCUCUCACUUCCUAUCCCUCUCUCCAUGGCAGCUGAAACAGCUUCCCUUCUUCUCUCCCAAGCAUUUCCUAGUCAACCUACCAAGAUAACAAGCAUCAAAACGUUAUAGAAAAAUAUAGAUUAAAAAAAAUAGUAUAAUAUGAGGAGAGGAAAUAACUUAGAGUGGGAGAGGCUAUAAGCAAAUUUUGAAUGAAUGACAUGUAGUUUGCAGAAAAGCAAUUUAAACUAGCAGGGAACUACAUGAAGUUCACUUCAGUUGAUAUAAACGGCAUGUCGCUUACGACUUCGCUACCUGGUUUCCUAUUUUAUCCUUGAUAACUACUCUCAAUUCCCAACACUACCACCUUCUAAAAUCCCCGCCUUUCUUCUGCUGUAAAAAAUCACAGCUCCUUCUGAAAAACUAAUAAAGCACUAGCCUUUCGCCACGCAAAACGCUCUUCCUCACCUCAGUUUCUCCAAAAUCACAACGUUAUACACAAGUAAGAACGAGAAUCACUGUAUCUCUUCUGGGUUUUCUAUUUAAGACAGAUUUUGCUUGUUGAAUUUCAACAUGUUUGUGUCAAGUUCGAGGCUUUGCAGAUUUCUACAACAUGCUUAGGUUUUAUUAGGAUUCUAUGCUUUCAGUUUUGAUGUUUCUCUCAUGUGGGCUAUUCAAUUUCUGGCUAAUUCUUCUAUGAACAAGCAAAGAUAUUUAGUGUUGGUAAGGCAUGGCUGGAGUAUCAUCUUGGUUUUAUGAAUUUUUCCCACAGAAAAUGAUGGGAUUACUGAAAUAUCUGUUGUGUUUUGGUAUUGAGUUCUUGCUCUGUUGAUGCAUGAAAAAUCAUUAUAAUUUAGUUGGCAUUCACUUCAUGAUGAUACCUGUUAUUGAUUCAAGUCCAAUACUUGCACUUUGUUAGAAUCUAUCUAUCAGUUCAUAAGGAAUUGCUUUAAGCAGUUUUCAGGAUGUUGCUAUAAUAUGUUUCUUGAAUCCUUUGAACUGCCAAUUGAAUUGGUGACUCUUAGUACAUAUGCUGGGAAAUGUCAGGUUGGUAUAACACCUAUUACAUGUCCUCUAGGAGUGUCAAAUCUCUCGAAGUAUUGUGAUUUUUCCUGUAUUUUUGGAUUGAAAACGGUAUGCAGUUGAAUAGCUUCUGUGGAUGUAAGUUUUUAUUGCUGGAGCCUGGGAAUUCAAAGAUACGUUGAUGAUGGAUAUUGCAAUAUAUGCAACCUGUGAAAAAAGUUGUUACAAAAGGUAGUAAUUUUUGUAUGGAAAAUCAAAAAUAAUUUUUUUUUAAUUUUUAAUAUCAAUAUAUUAAAAUUAUUGAAACACAUUAAAAAAACUAGUUCUUUCCUACUCUUGAUGAAAGAACAGAAAAAAUUAAUAUUUUCUUAAAAACAAACAAGUUUUUAAAGAGUCUAUUUGUGAAUUCAAAGUUAUUUUUGAAGGCACCAGACAACCUAGUUCUUAUCCACACUUGAUGAAAGAACAGAGAAAUUUCCCUCCUCUACAUGAUUCGAGCCUCUUAUUAUUAUUAUUAAUAAAAGGUUUUCCAUGUUCAUAUAAAUAAAAAUAAAUUUAAAAAAUAUAAUAAAAUAUUAUUUUAAUAUAUUUAUAAAUAAAAAAUAUUUUAAAAACAAUUAUUCCUCUUGUUGACGUGAAGCCACCGGACAAGCAAGUCCUUGUCCAUAUACAAAAAUGAUACUUGUCAUAGUGCCUUAAUUACACGAGGGUGCUUAUCCACAUCCAAAUCAUUCAGCUCUCUCUCACUUCCUCUCCCUCUCUCAAUGGCAGCUGAAACAGCUUCCCUUCUUCCCUCACAAGCAUUUCCUAGUCAACCUACCAAGAUAACAAGCAUCAAAACGUUAUCUGAAUCUCCUGGUCUCACCUCCAUCCCCGCCACUUACACCUUCACUCCUGAUCAUCUUGAUCAGGUAACUUGUGUCCCAGAAGGCUCCAUUCCUGUCAUAGAUUAUUCUCUUCUUAUUUCAGGCACUCCCGAUCAACGGUCUAAAACAGUUCAUGAACUUGGCAGAGCCUGUCAGGACUGGGGCUUCUUCACGGUAUAUCUCAUCUCUUUUCAUGUAGCAAGUAAAGCUCUUCAUGUUAUAGAAAUUUGAUCUUUGAUGGCUUGACGUGAUGUCGAAUGACUCUCUCAGCAACUUCGAGGGCUGAAAUAGUUGACUAGUGCAUGUCAUGCUCUGUAUUUUGUAAAAAAAUACAAGUAAAAGAAAAACAUAGCAAGAGAACUAGGUUUUUUUACUUUGAUUUAUAACGUAAAACAAACUUUCAUCCUUCAUAUUUCUUAAUUAUUAGGUGGUCAAUCAUGGGGUGCCGGAGAACCUUCUCAGCUCGAUACUUGAUGGGUGUAAAAGUUUUUUUGAUCUGCCAGAAGAGGAGAAGCAAGAGUUUAAAGGGAACCAUGUAUUGGACCCCAUAAGGUCUGGCACCAGCUGUAAUGUUUCAGUGGAAAAGGCUUUCUAUUGGAGGGAUUUUCUCAAGGUCUUUGUACAUCCUGAGUUCUACUCACCCACCAAGCCUGCUGGCCUCAGGUAAAUAUAAUGAUCAUCACCCCCUUCAUUAGUAGCUUUUAGUUCUAAUGCGUGUUCCUUUCAAGUGAAUUCAAAGGUGAAAAGAUAUUCGUUUUCUUUUGACAUAAGACAGAAUCUUGUGAGAAAUUCAUGAUUAAAGUAGAGGAAUCUUAAGCUUAUAGAAUUUGAAGUUCUUGGUUGGAUCUUUUUUUAUGCAGCGAGAUUUCAUUAGAGUACUCCCAAAGAGUUAGAGAAGUAGCAAGGGGGUUACUGAAAGGAAUAUCAGAAAGUUUGGGAUUGGAAGGAAGCUAUAUAGACAAGGCACUGAAUUGGAACAGGGGAAACAAAUAUUUAUUGCAAACUUGUAUCCAACUUGUCCACAGCCAGAGCUUGCAAUGGGCUUGCCCCCUCAUUCAGAUCAUGGCUUGUUGACACUUCUAAUCCAAAAUGGAAUUGGUGGCCUUCAAAUUCACCACGAAGGGAAGUGGGGCAAUGUCGGUGCCCUCCCCAACUCCUUCCUGGUUAACACUGGAGAUCACCUUGAGGUGCAUUCUGACUUCCUGGCCAUGUUAUCCCUUAUUACAAUUAGGCUUGUUGUCGAUCCAAGAUUCCCAAGGCUUAAUAAUGCUGUUAAAAAUGUGAAAUUCGUGUUUUUUUGUUACUAGAUUUUGAGCAAUGGAAGGUACAAGAGUGUUCUGCACCGAGCAAUGGUCAACAACAAGGCUACAAGGAUAUCCAUAGCUAUGGUACACGGACCAUCACUAGACUCAGUCGUUAGCCCAGCACCAGAGUUAUUAGUGAGCAGUAAAGGCAAUGAACCUGCAGCAUACGCUGGUAUGAAAUACAAAGACUACCUGGAACUUCAGCAGAGCAACAAGCUGGAUGGGAAAUCUUGCUUGGAUCGAGUUCGAAUUCCAGCAGUUUAGCUACUGCUUCUGUGUGUGUACCAAACCAUGAAAGUAAUAAUGAUACUUCUAUGAUUUCAUGAAUGCGAAAAUGAAUGGAUAAAGAAUGUGAUUGUAAUCAAAAUAAAGACUUCCUGUAAAAUAUAAGAAGUGGGGCAUCAUUUCUGCAGUGCACUCUUAUAGCUAUGUUUCUUCCCGCAGUUGGUUUGCGUUGUUCCAUGCAUGCUAUUACACUGGCUGCCCUGCUGCAAAUGACAGGGACUUUAGCUGUUUUCCACCGUGAGAAAUUUCAUGUCAGUAAAAGGACUUUCUCUUGUUUUAUCUCCCUGGGGCAUCAUUUAUCAUUUCUUACUGAUACGUACCACUUCACCACUUUACAUGCAGGGAUUGCACACUAGCAAACCAUGACAUGCAGGGAUGAGAAGACCACGAUGUGUAAUGACAAGAUGGAAAAGACCACGAAUGUUUAGUGGCAAAGUGAAAAACUUGGUCUAAUUUCUUUAUUUUAGUUAUUUGUUUGUUGAGUCAGUUUGUUUCAGUUCUGUUUUCAGUAUUUUUAUUCUGUUGCCAUGUUUGUUAUUUUUCCUACCUAUACUACUAUAUCUAUAUAUAGCCUAAAAGAGUUCAGGAGGAUAUGCAGUUAUUUCUUAAACAACCUUCUCUUCUCUUCUCUUCUCCCUAUCUUCUUCUUGAUUCUUAAAUUAUACUUUUCAAUGGUAUCAGAGCCUGGUUACAACCAUGAACACACGCAGUAAAACAAAUGCAGAAUUCCGCAAUGAUGUCAAUGAAAUCUUGGCACGACAUAAGAUCAGUUUCGAUUAGGUGAACGCAGCCUUACAAACAGUGUUAACCGAGCUCUAAGCUCUUCGAGCUUCUCGUAGCCAAAACAAUAACUCUUCUGAAACGAACCCCUUUGCUCGUGAUGAAUCCUCACACCCACAUACUUCUCGUUUUAACACUACAAAAGACUACUCUCAUCACAACCUCAAGUUGUCCUUUCUAAAAUUUAAUGGUUAUGAUCCAACGGGAUGGAUUUACAAGGCAGAGCAAUAUUUUGAAUUUCAAAAUAUUGCGUUGGACCAACAAGUUCAGCUGGCCUCAUUCCAUUUAGAAGGCAUCGCCUUACAGUGGCACCGGUGGUUGGCAAAAUUUCAUGGACCACUAACAUGGGAUGAGUUCACUAAUGCUAUACAACUCUGGUUUGGUCCAACCGACUACGGAGAUCCAUCAGAAGCUUUGACACGCCUUAAACAAUCCACCACCAUUGUAGCUUAUCAAGAAGCUUUUGAAAGGCUUUCUCACCGAGUGGACAACCUGCCUAAAUUUUUUUUAAUAGGUUGUUUUAUUGCAGGACUCAGAGAUGACAUUCAUAGAUGUGAAAAUUAAAUAGCCUGUAACCUUGGCAGAUACAAUAGGGGUGGCUCGACUAAUUGAGGAACGCAACCAGCUGCAAAAGAGACCAAUUCAACCACUCCGCUUCCAACUAGCUUAUGCAGUAGCAAAAACCUCCUCCAAUCCAGUGGCUAGGGUGCUAGGACCUCUACCAAAUCAGCGCCAUAGCCAAAGUUCCAAUAACCCACUAGCAACCUUCCAUAGAAUCACCAAUCAAGAGGCACGAGAACGACGAGAGAAAGGGUUAUGCUAUUACUGUGAUGAGAAGUUCAUUCCAAGACAUCGUUGUGCCCGACCACAAUUGUUUAUGAUCGAAGAUUCACCUCAUAUGGAUACCGAAGACGUUGAGAUCAACCAACCUAAUCUGGAACUUUAGAGGUUCUACCUGAAAUUUCUUUUCAUGCAAUUACAGGAACCGAACAUCCACAGACCAUACAUGUCCUUGGCAAGUUAAAGAACAAGAAUGUAACAAUGCUAAUAGAUGGAGGUAGCACUCAUAAUUUUAUUGAUCAGGCUUUGGUCUCUAGAUUUGGAUUACCAGUAACUCAGGGUAAGCAAUUACAAGUCAUGGUGGCUAAUAGAAAAAAUAUUGAAUGUGCUGGACAAUGUCAGGCGCUCACCCUCAUUAUUUAAGGGCUUCUUGUCACCACCGAUUACUACAUUGUUCUUGUCGCAGCAUGCCAGUUGGUAUUAGGAGUGCAAUGGAUUGCAACUCUCGGACCAGUCAGGACUGAUUACAAGCAGCUCACUAUGAAUUUCAACAUUGCAGGAAUUUCUCACACAUUUCAGGGAUCAAGGAGAACUAGCAUUGAAGCCUUAACAAAUAAGGAGUUCAAUGGAUUACAAGGCUUGGGAUUAUUCUUCCAAAUAAUUCCUUCCAAUAGUAACAACGAACCACCGUCCUAUCCUACUAAGAUCAGUAAAAUUUUAGCUCAAUUUUCUCAGGUGUUUGAAACCCCGACCGAUUUACCUCCAUAACGGUCACAUGACCAUCAAAUUCCAUUGCUUCCUAUAGCGGGGCCAGUCACUGUGAGGCCAUAUCGAUAUCCUUAUCAGAAGACUGAAAUAGAGAAAAUAGUCAAGGAGCUUCUGCAAUUUGGUUUAAUCAAACCAAGUCACAGCCCAUUCUCCUUCCCGGUUCUAUUAGUGAAGAAGGUUGAUGGUGCAUGAUGAUUUUGUGUGGAUUAUCGAGCUCUCAAUGACAUCACGGUGAAAGAUAAGUAUCCAAUUCCAAUAAUUAAUGAACUAUUAGAUGAGUUGCAUGGCGCCAAAUUUUAUUCUAAAUUGGAUUUACAUGCUGGAUAUCAUUAAAUCCGCGUGCAUGAUGCUGACAUUCAUAAAACAUCUUUCAGAACUCAUGAAGAGCAUUAUGAAUUUAUUGUGAUGCCAUUUGGUCUCACCAAUGCGCUAGUAACAUUUCAAAGUCUCAUGAAUGAUCUCUUUCGUCCCUACCUCCGACACUUUAUCUUGGUUUUCUUUGAUGACAUUCUAGUAUAUUCAAGAUCAUGGGAGGACCAUCUCACUCAUUUGCAAACUGUUCUACAGAUCUUAUCAGCUAACAGUUUAUUUACCAAAUUGUCCAAGUGUCAAUUCGGAGUUUUACGGGUCAGUUACUUGGGCCACAUCAUUUCCGAGCAAGGAGUAUCGGUUGAUCCCACCAAAAUCCAAGCUGUCAUCGAAUGGCCACCAUCAACAACAACAAAAAGGGUCCAUGGAUUUCUUGGUUUAUCAGGUUACUACCGAAAAUUUAUCGUCAUUUUACGUGUAUAACAGCACCUCUACACCGUCUCUUAAGCAAAGAUGGAUUUCAGUAGAAUGAUGCAGCAGAGAAGGCCUUCCAACAAUUGAAAGAAGCACUGACAUCCCCGCCAAUCUUACACCUUUCUGAUUUUACUCAACAAUUCAUCAUUGAGUGUGAUGCUAGUGGAAUAGGACUUAGUGCAAUUUUGCUUUAAUAGAACCAACCGAUUGCCUAUUUUAGUGAAGCAUUGAAAGGGUCAGCCUUAGUAUUAUCCAUAUACGAAAAAGAAAUGUUGGCAAUCGUCAAGGCAAUCAAGAAAUGGCGUCCAUACUUGUUGGGGAAACCUUUUACAUUUCGCACUGAUCAUAAAAGUCUUAAAUACCUCCUAGAGCAACGAAUUACUACACCUGUACAAUCAUGCUGGCUGCCAAAACUGCUUGGUUAUGAUUACAAAAUUGAGUAUUAACGUGGGCCUAAAAAUCAAGGUACUAAUUCAUUAUCACGUGUAGUUGAAUUCCAGUUUAUAUCUAUUUCUCAACCACAUGCAGAUUGGUAGCCACCGCUUCAGAAGGAAGUCCAACAGAACUCCUUUUAUGCUAACUUACUACACAAAUAACCCUCUCAAGCCGACCAUCAGCUGCUCCUUCGUGAUUGUGUUUGGUUCAAGCGAGACAAAAUCUAUUUGAGCUCCAGCUCCCCUUUGAUUCCAAAGAUUUUGGUUGAUUGUCAUUCAUCACCUGUAGGUGGGCACUUUGGGUUUCAUAAAACUCUAUCUUGCAUCAGACAAAGUGUUUUUUUUGGUCUAAUAUGCGACAAUAUGUGAAGGAGUUCUUGCAACAAUGUGAUGUUUGUCAAUGGUUUAAAAUAGAUUGUAUACAGCCGGUAGGAUUGCUUCAGCCUCUACCCAUCCCUACUUAAAUAUGGACUGAUGUCUCCAUAGACUUUAUUGAAGGAUUACCAUCUUCUAAUGGUUAUACUGUUAUCAUGGUCGUUGUUGACAGAUUGACCAAAUAUGCUCACUUUGUGCCUUGAAACAUCCAUUUUCUGCUGUCAGUGUUGCCAAGGAAUUUUUUACCAGUGUGGUUCGCGUGCAUGGAAUUCCAACUUCCAUAGUUAGUGACCGAGACAAGGUGUUUAUUAGUGCCUUUUGGCGCACAUUAUUCAAUCUGUAGGGAACCAAGUUAUGUAUGAGUUCAAGUUAUCAUCCCCAAUCUGACGGCCAAACCGAAGUUGUCAAUCGAACUUUGGAACAUUGUUUACGUUGUUUUGCAGGAGACCAACCACACAAAUGGGUUCAAUGGAUUCCCUGGGCUGAGUUUACUUACAAUACUUCCAUUCAUUCCUCCAUUAAGAUGACACCCUUUGAAGCUGUUUAUGGAGUUCCCACUCCCAACUUACUGGCUUAUAUACCCGACACUUCUCGCGUCCAAACAGUUGAUGAUUACCUGCAUGACAGGGAUACCAUCCUACUUGAGUUGUGCCAUAACCUUCAGUUGGCUCAAAAUCUGAUGAAAUGUCAAGCGGACCAACACCGGCGUGAGGUAUCAUUCAUUGUGGGAGAUUAUGUGUAUUUAAAACUUUAGCCCUAUCGGCAAACUUCUGUGGCUUUUCGAGCUUCUCUUAAACUCGCCCCAUGAUUUUUUGGUCCAUACAAAGUAUUAGAGAAGGUAAGUUCGGUGGCUUAUAAAUUGGCCUUGCCUCCUGGUUCUCAAAUCCAUGAUGUAUUUCAUGUCAGUUUGUUAAGGAAGCAUUUGGGUCCAGUUACUCCUUCCUCUCCUGAACUUCCCCCUAUCUCGGUUACUUCAGUCGUUUUUCCCCAACUUGAAGUUGUCUUAGAUCUGCGUGUGAUACGCAAAGGUAACUGUUGUUCAAAAUCUGAAAUUUUGGUGAAAUAUGUUGGUGCACCAGUAGAAGACGCUACUUAGGAAAAUGAGUGGUGUUUCUCCAAGUCCUAUCCAAACUUCCUCCUUGUGGACAAGGUUCCUUAAGGGGUAGGGAAUGAUAUAUACCACUUCAACACUUCACAUGCAAAGUGGCACAUUAGCAAACCACGGCAUGCAGGGAUUGCACACUAGCAGACCAUGACAUGCAGGGAUGAGAAGACCACGAUGUGUAAUUGUGUAAUGGCAAGAUGGAAGAGACCACGACGUGUAGUGGCAAAGUGGAAGACUUAGUCUAAUUUCUUUAUUUUAGUCAUUUAUUUGUUGAGUCAGUUUGUUUCUGUUCGGUUUUCAGCGUUCCUAUUCUGUAGCCAUAUUUGUUAUUUUUCUUACAUGUACUGCUAUAUCUAUAUAUAGCCUAAAAGAGUUCAACAAAGGAUAUGUAGUUAUUUCUUAAACAACCUUCUCUUCUCCCUAUCUUCUUUUGAUUCUUAAAUUAUACUUAUCACUUACCUCCAGGGAGCUCUCCAGAAGAACAAAAGGACUUUCUCUUGUUUUAUCUCUCUAGGGCAUCAUUUCUUACCUCUAGAGAGCUCUCCAGAAGAACAAAAGGAGGAAACAAGCUUCAGGUCGAAUAUGUCCUUUUAGUGUAGUUAUAUCGAGGAAGAAUCUAAUCAUUGUAAGAAUAAAAAGAACCAAACUUUUCUCUGAAUCAAGAUCCAUUGUACAUGAAGUUCAUACACUAAAUCAUGUCCUGCAAUUCACAAUUGAUUGAACUCUAAAAAUUAUCAGAGUAUGUUUUGUUUUUGCUUCUAUCUCUUAUUGUUACUAUCCCAAUUCAUGAUAAACUAAUUUUGCACUAUCAGUGCAUGAUGCAUGUACAUUUUCAUGCUGUCAAGGUUGUGCAUGUAAAAAAAGCCUCUGAUAACAAAGCAAUUUCAUCAGCCUAAGGUUGGUAUGAACUCUGAUAACAAAGCAACUCUUUGAGAAGCUUGAUAACUUGGCUGACAGAAAUUACACAUACAAUAGAAGUAACAUCUACGUUAUUUACGUUAUUGUUACGGGAUAGAAAAAAACAAAAUAAAAUAAAAUAUAAAAAAUAUAUUAUAUGUCAUUAAUAAAAUUAUAAUAAUCAUAGUUAUAAAAUCUAAACUAACCUGACAGGUUGAUUUGGAACCUGGACAGGUCCAAGUUUAAAAAAGUAGAAGAAGGAUUGACUCGAUCUGAUCUGGUAAAAACCUAGAUCAACCUGAGACAAAACAUGAGUAAAAAACAUGUUUACUUUUUAAAAUUGUUUUUUUUUUAUGAAAAUAAGGUUACUUUUAUUAUUUUAUUUUUUUUAAAGAAGAUUUUGGGUCAAUCUGGGUUGUCCUCUUGGCCCCGAACUUUGUCUUGGUUUAGCUCCCAGAUUGAGUUUUAAAAUUAUGAUAACAACAACUUUUAUCUAUACAUUGACACGAGUCAACCUGGGAUGACCCUUCCGACUCGUGACCUAAAAUUUGCUCCGAGUUAAUUUUCAAGUUGGGUUUUAAAACUACGAUAAUAACCAUUUUUAUUCUUAUAUUGACCUGGUCAACACGAGUUGACUCUCCAAAUCCGUGACCUAGCCUUUUCUCUGGGUCAACCCCUAUUCGGGUUUUAAAAUUAUGAUAAUAAUCAUUUUUAUUCUUAUGUUGAUCCAAGUCAAUCCAAGUUGACCCUCCCGACCCGUGAUUCAGGUCUUGCUCCUGAUCAACUCCAAGUUAAGUUUUAAAAUUAUGAUAAUAAUCAUUUUGAUUUAUACAUAUCUUAGUUUGAUAAUUUUAGAAUUGAGAGUUUUUACAAUGAUAUUUUAUGAAUAAAAAACAAAAAACAUUGUCUUAAAAGAUAUGCCCUUUUUAUUAUACCUCUUGUUUUGUAAGUAUAGAAACUCACUCCAAAAUUAUCAAGGAACACAUUUAUUUUUAUAUUUUUAUCUUUUCAACUAAACACAUUUUUGUUUCUUUUAUCACAAGAUAAUAAUUAAAUGUUAACUAAAAAUUUCAAUGUGUUUUUCAACACAAAAGUAUAAAGUGUAAAUUGAAAAGCCAAUGCAAAUAUCUAACUAAAUAAAUUGAUAAUCAUUUGCAUAAUAUGAGGAGAGGAAAUAACUUAGAGUGGGAGAGGCUGUAAGCAAAUUUUGAAUGAAUAACAUGUAGUUUACAGAAAAGCAAUUUAAACUAACAGGGAAACUACAUGUAGUUCACUUCAGUUGAUAUAACGGCAUGUCGCUUACGACUUCGCUACCUGGUUUCCUAUUUUAUCCUUGAUAAUUACUCUCAAUUCCCAACACUACCACCUUCUAAAAUCCCCGCCUUUCUUCUGCUGUAAAAAAUCACAGCUCCUUCUGAAAAACUAAUAAAGCACUAGCCUUUCGCCACGCAAAACGCUCUUCCUCACCUCAGUUUCUCCAAAAUCACAACGUUAUACACAAGUAAGAACGAGAAUCACUGUAUCUCUUCUGGGUUUUCUAUUUAAGACAGAUUUUGCUUGUUGAAUUUCAGCAUGUUUGUGUCAAGUUCGAGUCUUUGCAGAUUUCUACAACAUGCUUAGGUUUUAUUAGAAUUCUAUGCUUUCAGUUUUGAUGUUUCUCUCAUGUGGGCUAUUCAUUUUCUGGCUAAUUCUUCUAUGAACAAGCAAAGAUAUUUAGUGUUGGUAAGGCAUGGCUGGAGUAUCAUCUUGGUUAAAUGAAUUUUUCCCACAGAAAAUGAUGGGAUUACUGAAAUAUCUGUUGUGUUUUGGUAUUGAGUUCUUGCACUGUUGAUGCAUGAAAAAUCACUAUAGUUUAGUUGGCAUUCACUUCAUGAUGAUACCUGUUAUUGAUUCAAGUCCAAUACUAGCACUUUGUUAGAAUCUAUCUAUCAGUUCAUAAGGAAUUGCUUCAAGCAGUUUUCAGGAUGUUGCUAUAAUAUGUUUCUUGAAUCCUUUGAACUGCCAAUUGAAUUGGUGACUCUUAGUACAUAUGCUGGGAAAUGUCAGGUUGGUAUAACACCUAUUACAUGUCCUCUAGGAGUGUCAAAUCUCUCGAAGUAUUGUGAUUUUUCCUGUAUUUUUGGAUUGAAAACGGUAUGCAGUUGAAUAGCUUCUGUGGAUGUAAGUUUUUAUUGCUGGAGCCUGGGAAUUCAAAGAUACGUUGAUGAUGGAUAUUGCAAUAUAUGCAACCUGUGAAAAAAGUUGGGACCAAAGGUAGUAAUUUUUGUAUGGAAAAUCAAAAAUAUAUAUUUUUAAUUUUUAAUAUCAAUAUAUUAAAAUAAUUGAAAAUAUUAAAAAACUAGUUCUUUUCUACACUUGAUGAAAGAACAGAAAAAUUUAAUAUUUUCUUAAAAACAAACAAGUUUUUAAAAAACACUUAAAGAGUCUAUUUGUGAAUUCAAAGUUAUUUUUGAAGGCACCAGACAACCUAGUUCUUAUCCACACUUGAUGAAAGAACAGAGAAAUUUCCUCCUCUACAUGAUUCGAGCCUCUUAUUAUUAUUAUUAAUAAAAGGUUUUCCAUGUUCUUAUAAAUAAAAAUAAAUUUUAAAAAAUAAAUAAAAUAUUAUUUUAAUAUAUUUAUAAAUAAAAAAUAUUUUAAAAAACAAUUAUUCCUCCAUAAUUUGUUGACGUGAAGCCACCGGACAAGCAAGUCCUUGUCCAUAUACAAAAAUGAUACUUGUCAUAGUGCCUUAAUUACACGAGGGUGCUUAUCCACAUCCAAAUCAUUCAGCUCUCUCUCACUUCCUCUCCCUCUCUCAAUGGCAGCUGAAACAGCUUCCCUUCUUCCCUCACAAGCAUUUCCUAGUCAACCUACCAAGAUAACAAGCAUCAAAACGUUAGCUGAAUCUCCUGGUCUCACCUCCAUCCCCGCCGCUUACACCUUCACUCCUGAUCUCCAUGACCAGGUAACUUGUGUCCCAGAAGGCUCCAUUCCUGUCAUAGAUUAUUCUCUUCUUAUUUCAGGCACUCCCGAUCAACGGUCUAAAACAGUUCAUGAACUUGGCAGAGCCUGUCAGGACUGGGGCUUCUUCACGGUAUAUCUCAUCUCUUUUCAUGUAGCAAGUAAAGCUCUUCAUGUUAUAGAAAUUUGAUCUUUGAUGGCUUGACGUGAUGUCGAAUGACUCUCUCAGCAACUUCGAGGGCUGAACUAGUUGACUAGUGCAUGUCAUGCUCUGUAUUUUGUAAAAAAAUACAAGUAAAAGAAAAACAUAGCAAGAUAACUAGUUUUUUUUCUUUGAUUUAUAACGUAAAACAAACUUUCAUCCUUCAUAUUUCUUAAUUAUUAGGUGGUCAAUCAUGGGGUGCCGGAGAACCUUCUCAGCUCGAUACUUGAUGGGUGUAAAGGUUUUUUUGAUCUGCCAGAAGAGGAGAAGCAAGAGUUUAAAGGGAACCAUGUAUUGGACCCCAUAAGGUCUGUCACCAGCUGUAAUGUUUCAGUGGAAAAGGCUUUCUAUUGGAGGGAUUUUCUCAAGGUCUUUGUACAUCCUGAGUUCUACUCACCCACCAAGCCUGCUGGCCUCAGGUAAAUAUAAUGAUCAUCACCCCCUUCAUUAGUAGCUUUUAGUUCUAAUGCGUGUUCCUUUCAAGUGAAUUCAAAGGUGAAAAGAUAUUCGUUUUCUUUUGAAAUAAGACAGAAUCUUGUGAGAAAUUCAUGAUUAAAGUAGAGGAAUCUUAAGCUUAUAGAAUUUUAAGUUCUUGGUUGGAUCUUUUUUUAUGCAGCGAGAUUUCAUUAGAGUACUCCCAAAGAGUUAGAGAAGUAGCAAGGGGGUUACUGAAAGGAAUAUCAGAAAGUUUGGGAUUGGAAGGAAGCUAUAUAGACAAGGCACUGAAUUUGGAACAGGGGAAACAAAUAUUUAUUGCAAACUUGUAUCCAACUUGUCCACAGCCAGAGCUUGCAAUGGGCUUGCCCCCUCAUUCAAAUCAUGGCUUGUUGACACUUCUAAUCCAAAAUGGAAUUGGUUGUUAAUUAUUGGAGACAAGCAAGCCCCACCAUGUGCUAGUGGGAAUAACUAAUCCCCCACUUUGCACGUGGUGGAGGACACAAAGUGGAGGCAACGGUGGACAUCAAUCAUGCCCCUUCAAUCAUCCAUUGUAUAUGUAUAGUUGUGUGUGUGUGUGUGCUGUGUAGUUGAUGAAGAACACAGAGAGCACGAAGAACACAGUGAGAAGAAGAGAAAGAGAGAAACAUAGAGAGAGCUAGGGAGAGUUGAGUUGAGUAGAGAAGAAUUUUCUCCUCCUCCUUGUUUUGUUGUUUGUAUUGUUUGUAAGCUUCAUUAAUACAAACCAGUAGCUCCGUGGAGUAAGCAAGUUGCCGAACCACGUAAAUUUGUGCGUGUUUGAGUUCUGGAAAUAACCCAACAACUGGUAUCAGAGCUUGUUCUUGACAAAGAGGGUGUUUGAUCCAAACUCCAAAAUCAAAGUUCUCCAAACGUGUUUUUCAACAUACCACUGUGUAGAGGACAACCGGACGAAUCCACUGUUGAACCCCCGGCGAAGAACCGACGUCCUGCAUGCCCGCACACGCCAACACGCGCCGACGUCCAGAUUGCCCACGCGCACCAACGCGCGCCACGCUCCUUCUUCGCCCGGCUUCUGCAAAACGGGUCGGGUUUGACCCGCCACGUCAUCCAAUCCGUACAGUCACGGCCACGUCACCUGCCACGUCAUCAUACUGAGUUUUGCUCCGGUGUGCCGCAGGCCCUGAUCUACUGACACGUGGUUUAAUCUUCACCGUUGCUGAGUUUUGAUCCGGUGCGACGCAGGCUCUAAUCUGCUGAUACGUGUCUUCAUCAUAACCGCUACUGAGUUUUUAUCCAGUGUGACGCAGGCGGUACUCUGGCUGACACGCGGCUGCAUCUGCACCGUCCGUUAAUCCAAAACUUUGAUUGCUAAAAUCUGAGUCAUCCGAAGUCUGAUUGGGGUGAUUUCAGUGUCAUUUUCAAGGUUUUUGGCCGUUCUGGACACAUCUGUAAGGUCAGAUUUGGGAAAUUCGAAUCGGAGAAUUCCGUAAAAAUGGCAGAUGAAAUAAAGGCUGCUGGAAUUGAAAAAUUUGACGGAACAGAUUUUGGAUACUGGAAAAUACAAAUUGAAGAUUAUCUAUAUGGGAAGAAACUUCAUCUUCCCUUAUUGGGAAGCAAACCAGAAAAGAUGGAAGCAGAAGAAUGACAACUUCUUGAUAGACAAGUUCUAGGCAUUAUCCGGCUAUCCUUAUCAAGAAGAGUUGCUCACAAUGUUACGAAAGAAAAAUCCACUGCAAAAUUGAUGGAAGCCUUGUCUGGGAUGUAUGAGAAGCCAUCAGCAAAUAAUAAAGUGCACCUGAUGAAAAAGUUGUUCAACUUGAAGAUGGUCGAAAACACUUCUGUGACACAACACCUCAACAACUUUAAUACCAUCACAAAUCAAUUAUCAUCUGUUGCGAUUGAGUUUGAUGAUGAGAUUCGUGCACUCAUCUUGCUAGCUUCACUUCCAAGCAGUUGGGAAGGCAUGAGGACAGCCGUGAGCAAUUCAGCUGGAAAAUCCAAACUGAAGUAUGAUGACAUUCGAGACUUGAUUUUGGCUGAAGAAGUGCGAAGGAAAGACUCGGGUGAAAGUUCAAGCUCAGGAUCAGCUCUCAACAUCAACACUCGAGGGAGGAGACACGAUAGAGGCUCAUCCAGAGGCAGAUCAAAAUCCAGAUACAGAAGUAAAAGCAAGUUUGGAUCCAGAAAGCAGGUUGAAUGUUGGAAUUGUGGCAAACCUGGUCAUUUCAGUAGGAAUUGCACAAAACCGAAGAAACCUGAAGCUGACUCUGCAAAUGCUACCACAGAUGAGGUACAAGAUGCUUUAAUUCUUGCUGUACAUAGUCAAAUUGAUGAGUGGAUUCUUGAUUCUGGUGCUUCAUUCCACUGUACGCCACACAAUGAAAUGCUGCAAAAUUAUGUUGGAGGAGAUCACGGUGUAGUCUAUCUGGCCGAUGGAACACCACUGAAUAUUGUGGGUAUAGGAGAUGUGCAAAUCAAGACAAUGAAUGGAUCUAUAUGGACCUUGCAGAAUGUAAGGCAUGUUCCUGAAUUAAAGAAGAAGUUGAUCUCUGUCGGACAACUUGAUGAUAGUGGUCAUUCAAUACUUUUUGCUGGAGGAAUGUGGAAAGUAUCAAAGGGAGCAAUGGUUUUAGCUCGUGGAAAGAAAACCGGCACCCUGUAUAUGACCACAAGAUUUGCAGACAUCAUUGCCUCAACUGAAGCAGAAAAUCAAGCACACUAUGGCAUUGUAGACUUGGCCAUAUGAGUCAAAAGGGGAUGAAGAUACUUCAGUCGAAGGGAAAGCUGCCAGAGUUAAAAAAUGUCGAUCUAGACAUUUGUGAAAGCUGUGUUCUUGGAAAACAGAAGAAGGUCAGUUUCUUGAAGGUUGGCAGGACCUUACGACCAAGAAAGCUAGAACUGGUACACACAGAUUUAUGGGGACCGUCUCCAGUAGCAUCUCUUGGAGGUUCUCGGUAUUAUGUGACUUUCAUUGAUGACUUCAGCAGGAAGGUAUGGGUCUACUUUCUGAAAAAUAAAUCUGAUGUGUUUGAAACAUUCAAGAAAUGGAAGGCUAUGGUUGAGACUGAAUCAGGUCUAAAGUUGAAAUGCUUGAGAUCUGAUAAUGGAGGAGAAUACAUUGAUGGAGGUUUCAAGGAGUAUUGUGCUGUCAAUGGUAUCAGAAUGGAAAAGACCGUUCCAGGCACACCGCAACAGAAUGGCGUUGCUGAACGGAUGAACAGGACCAUCAAUGAACGAGCUAGAAGCAUGAGGUUGCAUUCAGGGUUACCUCAAACAUUCUGGGCUGACGCAGUUCAUACCGCAGUUUACUUGAUCAACCGUGGACCAUCAGUUCCUUUGGAAUUCAGAUUGCCCGAGGAAGUAUGGAGAGGAAAAGAGGUACGACUCUCUCAUUUGAAGGUCUUUGGGUGUGUUUCCUAUGUUCACAUAGAUUCUGAUGCUCGCAACAAGUUAGAAGCCAAAUCCAAGAAAUGUUUCUUCAUUGGCUAUGGAGAUGAAGAAUUUGGAUUUCGGUUCUGGGAUGAUCAGAAUAGAAAGAUUAUCAGAAGCAGGAACGUGAUCUUCAAUGAGAAAGUUAUGUACAAAGACAGAUCAAGUGAAGAAACCGAGAUGGUUGAUUCAGAUACAAGUCCACAAAGAUCUGAAUUCAUAAGAUUAGAAGGGCUUCCCGAUGUUACUAAGCAGAACAACAAUCAAGAGUCUUUACAAGAAGAUUCAAGCACAUCUGUGCCCACUACUACACAAGAAGAUGCGGAGCAAAUUGAACCAGCUGUUCGCAGGUCUUCGAGGACGAUAAAGCCCCCGCAACGGUUCACACUUUUACUGAAUUAUAUUUUGCUGACAGAUGGUGGUGAACCGCUAACCUAUGAAGAAUCCUUACAAGAUGGAAACUCAAGCAAGUGGGAGUUAGCCAUGAAGGAUGAGAUGAGUUCGUUGUUGAAGAACAAGACUUGGGAGCUAACAACAUUACCUGAAGGAAAGAAGGCCUUGCAAAAUAAGUGGGUUUACAGAGUGAAGACUGAGCAUGACGGAAGCAAACGGUUCAAGGCAAGACUUGUUGUCAAAGGGUUUCAACAAAAGAAAGGCAUUGACUACUCUGAGAUUUUUUCUCCAGUUGUGAAGCUCACAACAAUCAGAGUUGUUCUGGGGAUAGUAGCUGCAGAAAAUUUACAUCUUGAACAGUUAGAUGUAAAAACAGCAUUCCUUCAUGGUGACUUGGAGGAAGAUAUUUACAUGCAACAACCAGAGGGGUUUGCAAUGCAAGGAAAGGAGAAUCAAGUCUGCAAGCUACAGAAAAGCCUAUACGGUUUGAAGCAAGCUCCAAGACAGUGGUACAAGAAGUUUGACAACUUCAUGUGCAGUUCCGGGUAUACAAGAUGCCAAGCUGAUCAUUGUUGCUAUGUCAAACAUUUUGACAACUCCUACAUCAUUCUACUAUUAUAUGUAGAUGAUAUGUUGAUUGCAGGAUCCAGCAUUGAGGAGAUUGAUAAGCUGAAACAGCAGUUGUCGAAACAGUUUGAAAUGAAGGAUCUGGGAGCUGCUAAACAAAUACUUGGCAUGAGAAUCAUCAGAGAUAAAGACAAAGGCAUACUAAAGCUCUCACAAACAGAGUAUGUCAAGAAGGUUCUCAGCAGGUUUAGUAUGGAUAAUGCUAAACCAGUAAGUACACCACUGGGGAAUCAUUUCAAGCUCAGCAAAGAUCAGUCACCAAAAACUGAGCUAGAAAGUGGAUACAUGGAUAAGAUUCCAUACGCCUCAGCUAUCGGCUCUUUGAUGUAUGCUAUGGUCUGUACCAGACCAGACAUUGCCCAUGCAGUGGGAGUUGUAAGCCGAUAUAUGAGCAAUCCUGGAAAGCAGCAUUGGGAGGCGGUGAAAUGGAUCAUGAGGUACUUAAAAGGUUCAUCGGAAACUUGUCUCAGUUUCACAGCUGGUGGUUUGAAACUUGAAGGUUUUGUAGAUGCUGAUCUAGCAGGAGAUGUUGAUAGCAGAAAGAGCACUACAGGAUAUGUUUAUACUCUAGGAGGUACUGCUGUUUCCUGGAGUUCUACCUUGCAAAAGAUCGUUGCUCUUUCAACAACAGAAGCUGAAUAUGUUGCAGUCUCAGAAUCUGCAAAAGAGAUAGUAUGGUUGCAGAGUUUCUUGAAAGAAUUGGGCAAGUUGAAUGGAAAAGGUACUUUGUAUAGCGACAGUCAGAGUGCAAUCUUCCUUGCCAAGAAUCCAGCAUUUCACUCCAGGACGAAGCAUAUUCAGAUCAAAUAUCACUUUAUCCGACAACUGUUGGACGACGAGCAACUAAUGCUAGAAAAGGUCUGUGGAAGCAAGAAUCCAGCUGACAUGUUAACCAAAGGACUUACACUUGAGAAACUGAAGUUGUGCAAAACUUCAGUUGGUCUUCAAGGAUAAAAGAUAAUUUCAUUGUUUGUCUCCAAGUGGGAGAUUGUUAAUUAUUGGAGACAAGCAAGCCCCACCAUGUGCUAGUGGGAAUAACUAAUCCCCCACUUUGCACAUGGUGGAGGACAUAAAGUGGAGGCAAUAGUGGACAUCAAUCAUGCCCCUUCAAUCAUCCAUUGUAUAUGUAUAGCUGUGUGUGUGUGUGUGCUGUGUAGUUGAUGAAGAACACAUAGAGCACGAAGAACACAGUGAGAAGAAGAGAAAGAGAGAAACACAGAGAGAGCUAGGGAGAGUUGAGUUGAGUAGAGAAGAAUUUUCUCCUCCUCCUUGUUUUGUUGUUUGUAUUGUUUGUAAGCUUCAUUAAUACAAACCAGUAGCUCCGUGGAGUAGUCAAGUUGCCGAACCACGUAAAUUUGUGCGUGUUUGAGUUCUGGAAAUAACCCAACAUUGGGGUCAAUGUCGGUGCCCUACCCAACUCCUUCCUGGUUAACACUGGAGAUCACCUUGAGGUGCAUUCUGACUUCCUGGCCAUGUUAUCCCUUAUUACAAUUAGGCUCGUGGUCGAUCCAAGAUUCCCAAGGCUUAAUAAUGCUGUUAAAAAUGUGAAAUUCGUGUUUUUUUGUUACUAGAUUUUGAGCAAUGGAAGGUACAAGAGUGUUCUGCACCGAGCAAUGGUCAACAACAAGGCUACAAGGAUAUCCAUAGCUAUGGUACACGGACCAUCACUAGACUCAGUCGUUAGCCCAGCACCAGAGUUAUUAGUGAGCAGUAAAGGCAAUGAACCUGCAGCAUACGCUGGUAUGAAAUACAAAGACUACCUGGAACUUCAGCAGAGCAACAAGCUGGAUGGGAAAUCUUGUUAGGUGUGUUGCCAUUGAAUGUGCCUAACCUUGACUUUGACCAUCCACCUUUGUUGAAGAAGAUGGCAGCCAUCAUUGACUCCCAUGUGCAGCUGCUGGAAAGAAGAAGAGAAGCCACCAUCAUGCCUAUAAAUAGGCACCAUACAAAGAGAGCUUUGGUGAGAGUUGUGAAUAACGUGAGGGUGAAGAGAAAGAGAAGAGAAAGGGCUGCUGCCCAUGGCAGCAGCCUUGCAGCUGCAAGGCAGCGAGAGUGAGAUGGGAGUUGAGUGAUUAUAUCCUCCUCCAUGUAUUUAUUGUAUUCUUUCUCUACCUCAAAUAAUACAAUGAACCUCUCCCGUGGAUGUAGGCGGUUUUGCCGAACCACGUAAAAUAUUGUUGUCAGUGUGCUUACUCCUCCUAUGAGCAAUUAUCAGUACAUCACCGGUCGCCGGAUUCCGCCCAACAAAUCUUGCUUGGAUCGAGUUCGAAUUCCAGCAGUUUAGCUACUGCUUCUGUGUGUGUACCAAACCAUGAAAGUAAUAAUGAUACUUCUAUGAUUUCAUGAAUGCAAAAAUGAAUGGAUAAAGAAUGUGAUUGUAAUCAAAAUAAAGACUUCCUGUAAAAUAUAAGAAGUGGGGCAUCAUUUUUGCAGUGCACUCUUAUAGCUAUGUUUCUUCCCGCAGUUGGUUUGCGUUGUUCCAUGCAUGCUAUUACACUGGCUGCCCUGCUGCAAAUGACAGGGACUUUAGCUGUUUUCCACCGUGAGAAAUUUCAUGUCAGUAAAAGGACUUUCUCUUGUUUUAUCUCCUUAGGGCAUCAUUUAUCAUUUCUUACUGAUACGUACCACUUCACCACUUUACAUGCAGGGAUUGCACACUAGCAAACCAUGACAUGCAGGGAUGAGAAGACCACGGUGUGUAAUGACAAGAUGGAAAAGACCACGAAUGUUUAGUGGCAAAGUGAAAAACUUGGUCUAAUUUCUUUAUUUUAGUUAUUUGUUUGUCGAGUCAGUUUGUUUCAGUUCUAUUUUCAACAUUUUUAUUUUGUUGCCAUGUUUGUUAUUUUUCCUACCUAUACUACUAUAUCUAUAUAGAGCCUAAAAGAGUUCAGCGAAUUAUAUGCAGUUAUUUCUUAAACAACCUUCUCUUCUCCCUUUCUUCUUCUUGAUUCUUAAAUUAUACUUUUCAGUGGUAUCAGAGCCUGGUUACAACCAUGGACACUCGCGGUAAAACAAAUGCAGAAUUCCGCAAUAAUGUCAAUGAAAUCUUGGCACGACAUGAGAUCAGUUUCGAUCAGGUGAACGCAGCAUUACAAACAGUGUUAACCGAGCUCUAAGCUCUUCGAGCUUCUCGUAGCCAAAACAAUAACUCUUCUGAAACGAACCCCUUUGCUCGUGAUGAAUCCUCACACCCACAUACUUCUCGUUUUAACACUACAAAAGACUACUCUCAUCACAACUUCAAGUUGUCCUUUCUAAAAUUUAAUGGUUAUGAUCCAACGGGAUGGAUUUACAAGGCAGAGCAAUAUUUUGAAUUUCAAAAUAUUGCGUUGGACCAACAAGUUCAGCUGGCCUCAUUCCAUUUAGAAGGCAUCGCCUUACAGUGGCACCGGUGGUUGGCAAAAUUUCAUGGACCACUAACAUGGGAUGAGUUCACUAAUGCUAUACAACUCUGGUUUGGUCCAACCGACUACGGAGAUCCAUCAGAAGCUUUGACACGCCUUAAACAAUCCACCACCAUUGUAGCUUAUCAAGAAGCUUUUGAAAGGCUUUCUCACCGAGUGGACAACCUGCCUAAAUUUUUUUUAAUAGGUUGUUUUAUUGCAGGACUCAGAGAUGACAUUCAUAUAGAUGUGAAAAUUAAACAGCCUGUAACCUUGGCAGAUACAAUAGGGGUGGCUCGACUAAUUGAGGAACACAACCAGCUGCAAAAGAGACCAAUUCAACCACUCCGCUUCCAACUACCUUAUGCAGUAGCAAAAACCUCCUCCAAUUCAGUGGCUAGGGUGCUAGGACCUCUACCAAAUCAGCACCAUAGCCAAAGUUCCAAUAACCCACUAGCAACCUUCCAUAUAAUCACCAAUCAAGAGGCACGAGAACGACGAGAGAAAGGGUUAUGCUAUUACUGUGAUGAGAAGUUCGUUCCAAGACAUCGUUGUGCCCGACCACAAUUGUUUAUGAUCGAAGAUUCACCUCAUAUGGAUACCGAAGACGUUGAGAUCAACCAACCUGAUUUGGAACUUUCAGAGGUUCUACCUGAAAUUUCUUUUCAUGCAAUUACAGGAACCGAACAUCCACAGACCAUACAUGUCCUUGGCAAGUUAAAGAACAAGAAUGUAACAAUGCUAAUAGAUGGAGGUAGCACUCAUAAUUUUAUUGAUCAGGCUUUGGUCUCUAGAUUUGGAUUACCAGUAACUCAGGGUAAGCAAUUACAAGUCAUGGUGGCUAAUAGAAAAAAUAUUGAAUGUGCUGGACAAUGUCAGGCGCUCACCCUCAUUAUUUAAGGGCUUCUUGUCACCACCGAUUACUACAUUGUUCUUGUCGCAGCAUGCCAGUUGGUAUUAGGAGUGCAAUGGAUUGCAACUCUCGGACCAGUCAGGACUGAUUACAAGCAGCUCACUAUGAAUUUCAACAUUGCAGGAAUUUCUCACACAUUUCAGGGAUCAAGGAGAACUAGCAUUGAAGCCUUAACAAAUAAGGAGUUCAAUGGAUUACAAGGCUUGGGAUUAUUUUUCCAAAUAAUUCAUUCCAAUAGUAACAACGAACCACAGUCCUAUCCUACUAAGAUCAGUAAAAUUUUAGCUCAAUUUUCUCAGGUGUUUGAAACCCCGAUCGAUUUACCUCCACAACGGUCACAUGACCAUCAAAUUCCAUUGCUUCCUAUAGCGGGGCCAGUCACUGUGAGGCCAUAUCGAUAUCCUUAUUAUCAGAAGACUGAAAUAGAGAAAAUAGUCAAGGAGCUUCUGCAAUUUGGUUUAAUCAAACCAAGUCACAGCCCAUUCUCCUUCCCGGUUCUAUUAGUGAAGAAGGCUGAUGGUGCAUGAUGAUUUUGUGUGGAUUAUCGAGCUCUCAAUGACAUCACGGUGAAAGAUAAGUAUCCAAUUCCAAUAAUUAAUGAACUAUUAGAUGAGUUGCAUGGCGCCAAAUUUUAUUCUAAAUUGGAUUUACAUGCUGGAUAUCAUUAAAUCCGCGUGCAUGAUGCUGACAUUCAUAAAACAUCUUUCAGAACUCAUGAAGAGCAUUAUGAAUUUAUUGUGAUGCCAUUUGGUCUCACCAAUGCGCUAGUAACAUUUCAAAGUCUCAUGAAUGAUCUCUUUCGUCCCUACCUCCGAUACUUUAUCUUGGUUUUGUUUGAUGACAUUCUAGUAUAUUCAAGAUCAUGGGAGGACCAUCUCACUCAUUUGCAAACUGUUCUAUAGAUCUUAUCAGCUAACAGUUUAUUUACCAAAUUGUCCAAGUGUCAAUUCGGAGUUUUACGGGUCAGUUACUUGGGCCACAUCAUUUCCGAGCAAGGAGUAUCGGUUGAUCCCACCAAAAUCCAAGCUGUCAUCGAAUGGCCACCAUCAACAACAGCAAAAAGGGUCCAUGGAUUUCUUGGUUUAUCAGGUUACUACCAAAAAUUUAUUCGUCAUUUUACGUGUAUAACAGCACCUCUACACCGUCUCUUAAGCAAAGAUGGAUUUCAGUAGAAUGAUGCAGCAGAGAAGGCCUUCCAACAAUUGAAAGAAGCACUGACAUCCCCGCCAAUCUUACACCUUUCUGAUUUUACUCAACAAUUCAUCAUUGAGUGUGAUGCUAGUGGAAUAGGACUUAGUGCAAUUUUGCUUUAAUAGAACCAACCGAUUGCCUAUUUUAGUGAAGCAUUGAAAGGGUCAACCUUAGUAUUAUCCAUAUACGAAAAAGAAAUGUUGGCAAUCGUCAAGGCAAUCAAGAAAUGACGUCCAUACUUGUUGGGGAAACCUUUUACAUUUCGCACUGAUCAUAAAAGUCUUAAAUACCUCCUAGAGCAACGAAUUACUACACCUGUACAAUCAUGCUGGCUGCCAAAACUGCUUGGUUAUGAUUACAAAAUUGAGUAUUAACGUGGGCCUAAAAAUCAAGGUACUAAUUCAUUAUCACGUGUAGUUGAAUUCCAGUUUAUAUCUAUUUCUCAACCACAUGCAGAUUGGUAGCCACCGCUUCAGAAGGAAGUCCAACAGAACUCCUUUUAUGCUAACUUACUACACAAAUAACCCUCUCAAGCCGACCAUCAGCUGCUCCUUCGUGAUUGUGUUUGGUUCAAGCGAGACAAAAUCUAUUUGAGCUCCAGCUCCCCUUUGAUUCCAAAGAUUUUGGUUGAUUGUCAUUCAUCACCUGUAGGUGGGCACUUUGGGUUUCAUAAAACUCUAUCUUGCAUCAGACAAAGUGUUUUUUUUGGUCUAAUAUGCGACAAUAUGUGAAGGAAUUCUUGUAACAAUGUGAUGUCUGUCAAUGGUUUAAAAUAUAUUAUAUACAGCCGGCAGGAUUGCUUCAACCUCUACCCAUCCCUACUUAAAUAUGGACCGAUGUAUCCAUAGACUUUAUUGAAGGAUUACCAUCUUCUAAUGGUUAUACUGUUAUCAUGGUCGUUGUUGACAGAUUGACCAAAUAUGCUCACUUUGUGCCUUGAAACAACCAUUUUCUGCUGUCAGUGUUGCCACGAAAUUUUUUACCAGUGUGGUUCGCGUGCAUGGAAUUCCAACUUCCAUAGUUAGUGACCGAGACAAGGUGUUUAUUAGUGCCUUUUGGCGCACAUUAUUCAAUCUGUAGGGAACCAAGUUAUGUAUGAGUUCAAGUUACCAUCCCCAAUCUGACGGCCAAACCGAAGUUGUCAAUCGAACUUUGGAACAUUGUUUACGUUGUUUUGCAGGAGACCAGCCACACAAAUGGGUUCAAUGGAUUCCCUAGGCUGAGUUUACUUACAAUACUUCCAUUCAUUCCUCCAUUAAGAUGACACCCUUUGAAGUUGUUUAUAGAGUUCCCACUCCCAACUUACUGGCUUAUAUACCCGACACUUCUCGCGUCCAAGCAGUUGAUGAAUACCUGCAUGACAAGGAUACCAUCCUACUUGAGUUGCGCCAUAACCUUCAGUUGGCUCAAAAUCUGAUGAAAUGUCAAGCGGACCAACACUGGCGUGAGGUAUCAUUCACUGUGGGAGAUUAUGUGUAUUUAAAACUUUAGCCCUAUCGGCAAACUUCUGUGGCUUUUCGAGCUUCUCUUAAACUCACCCUAUGAUUUUUUGGUCCAUACAAAGUAUUAGAGAAGGUCAAUUCGGUGGCUUAUAAAUUGGCCUUGCCUCCUGGUUCUCAAAUCCAUGAUGUAUUUCAUGUCAGUUUGUUAAGGAAGCAUCUGGGUCCAGUUACUCCUUCCUCUCCUGAACUUCCCCCUAUCUCGGUUACUUCAGUUGUUCUUCCCCAACUUGAAGUUGUCUUAGAUCUGCGUGUGAUACGCAAAGGUAACUAUCGUUCAAAAUCUGAAAUUUUGGUGAAAUAUGUUGGUGCACCAGUAGAAGACGCUACUUAGGAAAAUGAGUGGUGUUUCUCCAAGUCUUAUCCAGACUUCCUCCUUGUGGACAAGGUUCCUUAAGGGGUAGGGAAUGAUAUAUACCACUUCAACACUUCACAUGCAAUGUAGUGGCACAUUAGCAAACCACGACAUGCAGGGAUUGCACACUAGCAGACCAUGACAUGCAGGGAUGAGAAGACCACGAUGUGUAAUUGUGUAAUGGCAAGAUGGAAGAGACCACGGCGUGUAGUGGCAAAGUGGAAGACUUAGUCUAAUUUCUUUAUUUUAGUCAUUUAUUUAUUGAGUCAGUUUGUUUCUGUUCGGUUUUCAGCGUUCCUAUUCUGUAGCCAUAUUUGUUAUUUUUCUUACAUGUACUGCUAUAUCUAUAUAUAGCCUAAAAGAGUUCAGCAAAGGAUAUGUAGUUAUUUCGUAAACAACCUUCUCUUCUCCCUAUCUUCUUCAUGAUUCUUAAAUUAUACUUAUCACUUACCUCCAGGGAGCUCUCCAGAAGAACAAAAGGACUUUCUCUUGUUUUAUCUCUCUAGGGCAUCAUUUCUUACCUCUAGAGAGCUCUCCAGAAGAACAAAAGGAGGAAACAAGCUUCAGGUCGAAUAUGUUCUUUUAGUGUAGUUAUAUCGAGGAAGAAUCUAAUCAUUGUAAGAAUAAAAAGAACCAAACUUUUCUCUGAAUCAAGAUCCAUUGUACAUGAAGUUCAUACACUAAAUCAUGUCCUGCAAUUCAUAAUUGAUUGAACUCUAAAAAUUAUCACAGUAUGUUUUGUUUUUGGUUCUAUCUCUUAUUGUUACUAUCCCAAUUCAUGAUAAACUAGUUUUGCAUUAUCAAUGCAUGAUGCAUGUACAUUUUCAUGCUGUCAAGGUUGUGCAUGUAAAACAAACCUCUGGUAACAAAGUAAUUCCAUCAUACUAAGGUUGGUAUGAACUCUGAUAACAAAGCAACUCUUUGAGAAGCUUGAUAACUUGGCUGACAUAAAUUACACAUACAAUAGAAGUAACAUCUAUGUUAUUUACGUUAUUGUUACGGGAUAGAAAAAAACAAAACAAAAUAAAAUAUAAAAAAUAUAUUAUAUGUCAUUAAUAAAAUUAUAAUAAUCAUAGUUAUAAAAUCUAAACUAACCUGACAGGUUGAUUUGGAACCUGGACAGUCCAAGUUUAAAAAAGUAGAAGAAGGAUUGACUCGAUCUGAUCUGGUAAAAACCUGAUCACCUGAGACAAAACAUGGUAAAAAACAUGUUUACUUUUUAAAAUUGUUUUUUUUUUUGAAAAUAAGGUUGCUUUUAUUAUUUUAUUUUUUUUAAAGAAGAUUUUGGGUCAAUCUGGGUUGUCCUCUUGGCCCCGAACUUUGUCUUGGUUUAGCUCCCAGAUUGAGUUUUAAAAUUAUGAUAACAACCACUUUUAUCUAUACAUUGACACGAGUCAACCUGGGAUGACCCUUCCGACUCGUGACCUAAAAUUUGCACCGAGUUAAUUUUCAAGUUGGGUUUUAAAACUACGAUAAUAACCAUUUUUAUUCUUAUAUUGACCUGGUCAACACGAGUUGACUCUCCAAAUCCGUGACCUAGCCUUUUCUCUGGGUCAACCCCUAUUCGGGUUUUAAAAUUAUGAUAAUAAUCAUUUUUAUUCUUAUGUUGAUCCAAGUCAAUCCAAGUUGACACUCCCAACCCGUGAUUUAGGUCUUGCUCCUGAUCAACUCCAAGUUAAGUUUUAAAAUUAUGAUAAUAAUCAUUUUGAUCUAUACAUAUCUUAGUUUGAUAAUUUUAGAAUUGAGAGUUUUUACAAUGAUAUUUUAUGAAUAAAAAACAAAAAACAUUGUCUUAGAAGAUAUGCCCUUUUUAUGAUACCUCUUGUUUUGUAAGUAUAGAAACUCACUCCAAAAUUAUCAAGGAACACAUUUAUUUUUAUAUUUUUAUCUUUUCAACUAAACAUAUUUUUGUUUCUUUUAUCACAAGAUAAUAAUUAAAUGUUAACUAAAAAUUUCAAUGUGUUUUUCAACACAAAAAUAUAAAGUGUAAAUUGAAAAGCCAAUGCAAAUAUCUAAAUAAAUAAAUUGAUAAUCAUUUGUAUAAUAUGAGGAGAGGAAAUAACUUAGAGUGGGAGAGGCUGUAAGCAAAUUUUGAAUGAAUAACAUGUAGUUUACAGAAAAGCAAUUUAAACUAACAGGGAACUACAUGUAGUUCACUUCAGUUGAUAUAAACGGCAUGUCGCUUACGACUUCGCUACCUGGUUUCCUAUUUUAUCCUUGAUAAUUACUCUCAAUUCCCAACACUACCACCUUCUAAAAUCCCCGCCUUUCUUCUGCUGUAAAAAAUCACAGCUCCUUCUGAAAAACUAAUAAAGCACUAGCCUUUCGCCACGCAAAACGCUCUUCCUCACCUCAGUUUCUCCAAAAUCACAACGUUAUACACAAGUAAGAACGAGAAUCACUGUAUCUCUUCUGGGUUUUCUAUUUAAGACAGAUUUUGCUUGUUGAAUUUCAACAUGUUUGUGUCAAGUUCGAGUCUUUGCAGAUUUCUACAACAUGCUUAGGUUUUAUUAGAAUUCUAUGCUUUCAGUUUUGAUGUUUCUCUCAUGUGGGCUAUUCAUUUUCUGGCUAAUUCUUCUAUGAACAAGCAAAGAUAUUUAGUGUUGGUAAGGCAUGGCUGGAGUAUCAUCUUGGUUAAAUGAAUUUUUCCCACAGAAAAUGAUGGGAUUACUGAAAUAUCUGUUGUGUUUUGGUAUUGAGUUCUUGCACUGUUGAUGCAUGAAAAAUCACUAUAGUUUAGUUGGCAUUCACUUCAUGAUGAUACCUGUUAUUGAUUCAAGUCCAAUACUAGCACUUUGUUAGAAUCUAUCUAUCAGUUCAUAAGGAAUUGCUUCAAGCAGUUUUCAGGAUGUUGCUAUAAUAUGUUUCUUGAAUCCUUUGAACUGCCAAUUGAAUUGGUGACUCUUAGUACAUAUGCUGGGAAAUGUCAGGUUGGUAUAACACCUAUUACAUGUCCUCUAGAAGUGUCAAAUCUCUCGAAGUAUUGUGAUUUUUCCUGUAUUUUUGGAUUGAAAACGGUAUGCAGUUGAAUAGCUUCUGUGGAUGUAAGUUUUUAUUGCUGGGGCCUGGGAAUUCAAAGAUACGUUGAUGAUGGAUAUUGCAAUAUAUGCAACCUGUGAAAAAAGUUGGGACCAAAGGUAGUAAUUUUUGUAUGGAAAAUCAAAAAUAAUUUUUUUUAAUUUUUAAUAUCAAUAUAUUAAAAUAAUUGAAACAUAUUAAAAAACUAGUUCUUUUCUACACUUGAUGAAAGAACAGAAAAAUUUAAUAUUUUCUUAAAAAUAAACAAGUUUUUAAAAAACACUUAAAGAAAUCUAUUUGUGAAUUCAAAGUUAUUUUUAGAGACACCAGAUAACCUAGUUCUUAUCCACACUUGAUGAAAGAACAGAGAAAUUUCCCUCCUCUACAUGAUUCGAGCUUCUUCUUAUUAUUAUUAAUAAAAGGUUUUCCAUGUUCUUAUAAAUAAAAAUAAAUUUUAAAAAAUAAAUAAAAUAUUAUUUUAAUAUAUUUAUAAAUAAAAAAUAUUUUAAAAAAUAAUUAUUCCUCCUUAAUUUGUUGACGUGAAGCCACCGGACAAGCAAGUCCUUGUCCAUAUACAAAAAUGAUACUUGUCAUAGUGCCUUAAUUACACGAGGGUGCUUAUCCACAUCCAAAUCAUUCAGCUCUCUCUCACUUCCUCUCCCUCUCUCAAUGGCAGCUGAAACAGCUUCCCUUCUUCCCUCACAAGCAUUUCCUAGUCAACCUACCAAGAUAACAAGCAUCAAAACGUUAUCUGAAUCUCCUGGUCUCACCUCCAUCCCCGCCACUUACACCUUCACUCCUGAUCAUCUUGAUCAGGUAACUUGUGUCCCAGAAGGCUCCAUUCCUGUCAUAGAUUAUUCUCUUCUUAUUUCAGGCACUCCCGAUCAACGGUCUAAAACAGUUCAUGAACUUGGCAGAGCCUGUCAGGACUGGGGCUUCUUCACGGUAUAUCUCAUCUCUUUUCAUGUAGCAAGUAAAGCUCUUCAUGUUAUAGAAAUUUGAUCUUUGAUGGCUUGACGUGAUGUCGAAUGACUCUCUCAGCAACUUCGAGGGC
rnacentral:lncRNA from 1 species